AUGCAGCGCCGGCGAAGAGCGGGGCUGGUGGCGCUGGCCGCGGUUCUGCUGGUGUGUGCAGGCACAGCACUGGUGCAGCAGGACUCAUUGGCAGCGACCACCGAGGGCAGUGAAAUCACCAUCAAGUGCUCAAACGCCAACAUAGGAAUCGGGGAUUUUAUCCAUUUCUACCGGCAGCUGCCGGGUCACAGACCCGAGCUCCAGGCACCCGCUGCUAAAGUGCCCAGAGAGCUGCGGGCGCCAGUGGGGCGGCUCUCGGUGUCGGGAGAUCGUCGUUGGACCGUCCCCUGGCUCUCCGAUCCCUGUCGUAUGGAGGCGGCGCUGUAUUCCUGCACCCGGGCGGACACGGAGUCAUUGACACCGUCGUCUUUGGAGCUUUUAGGGGAUUAUCGCUGA